AAAACACCCAUCGACAUAAGAUACUUUAACUGGUAUUUACUGAUAUUUAGGUUUAAUUAUCUUUUAUACGAUUUUUUCAAGGCGCUCAACGUUCGUAGCAAUUAACACAAAUUGUAAAAUAUAACAAAAAACAUUCGUAAUGUCGGAAUACAUGCACGGAAAGAAUGAUUUUACUAUGGUACUUAAAAAUUUAGCUAAAUACAAAGUUAAAAAUAAUUUUGUUAGACCAUCUCAAAGCAAUUAUGAGGAACGCUCAAAUAUGAUAAGCAAUGCUGUAAACAGUUUUGACAUUCUAAUAAUCGCGUUGAAUAUUUUGGUGAUAUAAUAAAAAUAUUUUCAGAUUUAUUUCCAGCUAAAUUUUUGAAUGGUUUAGCAAGUGUUCCUUCCAUAUAUAUAUAUUAAUAUAAAAAAUAUAUUAAAUUCUAUACAAUGUAAAAAAAGCAAAUAAUACAAAAAGUGCCAGCUUCAAAGUACAGUCCCACUGUAAUCAAAUGCCAACCCGGUUAUUGAUGCGUUCCCGUUGCAGCAUAUAUACCCUUGACUCUAUUCGCUUCAUCUAUUCAAGCUUCCGCUCUAAUAGUUUAAGUAAAUUCGUCAGAGUAACUUUGACACAGACACAAAGUCGUGUGUCAUUUGCAUUACAAUUCGGUGAAGAUGCGAUCGCUUCGUCUGAUUUGGCACCUACGCGAAAAGCCACGUUAACAGAAAAUGAGACAACCAAAAAUGGAUGUAUUUACAGAAAAACGGAAAUAUGGAUGCCAAAGAUUGAAAGAUAAUAAUUUAAAUAAUUCGUUAUUAAAUUACGUAUCUCGACGUAAUAAAAAGGAUCGCAUAUAAAAAGCAAAUUGUUGCGUAUGUACACACUUUUUAUUAUAUCUACAUAUUUUCAUAACAGGAUAAUAAACAUAUUAUAUUAGAAAUAAUGUACAAGUAAAAUACAGGUUAAAACUUAAGCUCGACAUCAGAAUGUAGAUUGUAAAAUAUAAAUAAUUGCAUGAUUAAUUGCGUCGCCCAAUUUUCUAAUUAUGCCGGUUCUAACAGCUUGUAAUUGGUUACGCUCACAUUGCGUGAAAUCAAAAACAGAUUUGUAUCUAAUCGUUCAUCGGAAGAAAAACGAAAUAUCCUGCGAAUAUUCGUACAUUACAAUUUGUUUUUUGUUAUUAUAAAAUCUAUAUGAUAAUAAAAUUAAACUUUUUAUAAAAUUUGAUUCAUUACAGUCAUUAAGACAGUAUAAACAUAGGAAGAUGUUUAAAUUAGAUACAAUCUGUGCGUAUUACAUACAAUUUAUAAUUUACAUACAAAAAAAAAUAUAAAUGCACAUCACAACCCUGUAUAUACAUAUAAGAUUUUUACUGAGAUGUAGUAAACUGUCCUCUAAAUGUAGUAGUAGAAAAGUAGAAAAAUAUGUGAGAUCAACUAAAGUUCGACUUUCUGUUAGUGCGAUAAUUCGGCGAGAUCAAAAGGCUCGACUGUCAUUUUAUGACGCCAACAGAAAGUCAAAGGAGCCGAAAGAUUGGAAACAUAAAAAAAUUAAAAAA